UACGUAGGGUGCAAGCGUUGUCCGGAAUUAUUGGGCGUAAAGAGCUCGUAGGCGGUUUGUCGCGUCUGCUGUGAAAAUCCAGGGCUUAACCCUGGACCUGCAGUGGGUACGGGCAGACUAGAGUGCGGUAGGGGAGAUCGGAAUUCCUGGUGUAGCGGUGAAAUGCGUAGAUAUCAGGAGGAACACCGGUGGCGAAGGCGGCUACCUGGACAGAAACUGACGCUGAGGCACGAAAGCUAGGGGAGCAAACAGG
rnacentral:rRNA from 1 species